rnacentral:rRNA from 1 species
AGUAGCCGCGGGAAUACAGAGGGUGCAAGCGUUAAUCGGAAUUACUGGGCGUAAAGCGCGCGUAGGUGGUUUGUUAAGUUGGAUGUGAAAUCCACGGGCUCAAACUGGGAACUGCAUCCAAAACUGGCAAGCUAGAGUAUGGUAGAGGGUGGUGGAAUUUCCUGUGUAGCGGUGAAAUGCGUAGAUAUAGGAAGGAACACCAGUGGCGAAGGCGACCACCUGGACUGAUACUGACACUGAGGUGCGAAAGCGUGGGGAGCAAACAGGAUUAGAUACCCCAGUAGUCCCUGUCUCUUAUACA